GUCUACCUUUCUCGGUUCUUGCUUAUCUCUGGGAACACUUGAAGACUUGGCAAUGACCCUGAACCAAAUCGAACACCGCAAUCCUGAACUGUUUGCCUGUUACCCUAUUUCUGUUUCCUGCACCCACCCUGAGGCGGAUAAGAGCAUUGCUUAAAAUGAUGUGGUGCACAAUGGUACUCAGAGGUCUGCACUCCUGCUGACAGUCAGGCUGAGCUGUGAACUCCGGGGCUUCCGUGGGUUUCCCUGGUUGGAGGGAUCGUUCACAUGUCUCUGUGGUUUACAGCUGCUUCAAGAGAGCCAAUCUGACACUCAAACUGCAUUAAAGGGAGAAAUAAAAGAGAAAUUAUAUGAAAUAUGAUGUCAAAUUAUAAAAAGCUGUGGAGAUGACUCGGCCAAAAGGCAAAGAGGAAGACGGUUAUGCAUAGAGGUUACAAAUGGAGAAGGUUCAUCUCUGAAGACACUGGGGACAGACCUGGAGGAUAUGAAAAUCUCUCUCAAUGAAGCCAAGGGCAAAACAGUGAACGUGAGCACUUGAGCUAGGAGAGUGGGCCGAGUGUACCAAAAGACGGAAUUCAAGGGGCCAGUGGGGACAGGGACAAGAGCAGAGGAGGAGAGCUGGGGAAACCUUAGAGCGAAAAGGCUGCCGAUUCAGACUUUGGCCCAAGGUAGGUUUUGAUUUUAGUCGAACCUGUUACAAAAAUGAGUAAUUUAUUUAAUCCCAAUUCUUAUUUGUAAAAGAUUUGUUUUAUUUUGUGUGUGUGUGUGUGUGUGUGUGUGUGUGUGUGUCUGUGUCUGUGUAACAUUGUGUAGGUACCCUGAGAAGCCAGAGAGGGAAUCAUAUCCUUUAGAGUUGGAGUUACAGGCAGUUGUGAACCACCAUGUGGGUGUUGGGAACUGGGGUCUGAUCCUCUGGAAGGGCAACAAAGCCAUUUUCCCAGCUCCAUUUCUUUACACAUAAAUCAAGGUGGAGAUAGUGGUGGUGCAUGCCAUUGUUGGAAUGACUAGGCCUCUCUCUCUCUCUCUCUCUCUCUCUCUCUCUCUCUCACACACACACACACACACAAACACGUGUAGGCAGGCAAGCAUAAAUGUUACUUAAAGUGUUGUCACUCAUUAUUAAUUUUUAAAGUCUUGAAAAUAUUUCUGGGUAGAGCAUCUGAGAUUUGGAAUGCAAGUCGAUAGUGGCUCUCAAUGAAGCAAAAUGAGAUGCUGGCGUACUCUUUGGAUAGUCUCUGUCUCACUUUCCACUUAAAAUAUUAUACUAAAAAUCCAAAGGAUAUAUAAUACAUUGUCUUACAUUUGAGAAAUGUGUAUUUUUAAGAUCCCCCACAUAGUUACAAAACAAGGUUUUGUUAGAUUUCUUAAAGGGAAAUGCCCGCUAAGUUCAGCCGAUUUCAAAUCACACAGGUGGACAGUGAGAGCCAAAUGUCCAAGGCUUUAGGGUGUGUUCUGAGGUUCAGUCCUGGAUCUCUCGAUAUUUCCAUCCCUUUAAACAGGAGCUCAAGCAAAUUGGUUUUUGGGACCAUGUUCGGAAAAUGAGCAGGAGGUGAGGAAAACCAACUGUUGUGCCCAAAUCUUGUAUACGUGGUGCUUCCUCCCACACUCCCAGGAGAAACCAUUAGCUUAAACCUACCCAGGGAAGGGCAGGAGCGUGUGAGAGAGGGGCAUAUGUAAGCUUGCUCUCUGUCCGGCGGGAGCACGAGUCUGAGUCAAUUCUGGGGAGAUUUCUGAACACCUGAGAAGGCGUGCGGGCUCCAGCCUGUGGACGUAAUUCCCAGAGCAACAAACAAGAGAAAGAAACUCCUCCUUAUGCUUCAACCGCAAUGAAAAGCCACUGUGAUGCUAUUAUAAACAGCGUUUUUAGAAGUUUCCCCCCUCAAUAUACAUUUUUGAGAAAUUAUAAACCAAUUAAAAUUCUGCAUGUCUUUUAAAGUUUGCGUGUGGUCCGUGCACGCCACAGAAGCACCUAUGUGGAAGUCAAAUGACAACACAUGGGAGGUGGGUCUCUCCUUCCACCACGUGAGUCCCAGGAAUCAAACGGUCGGGUCAGGCUUUGGCAGUAAGUGCAGUUUACUGGUCGAGCCAUCUCACAGGCCCAAUAAAUUAUCCUUAAAAGGUGCAUAUAAAAAGCUGUGUGUGGUGCCUUGCAAAUGUAACCCCAUCUGCAUAAGCAGAGACAGAAGGAUCACUGCAGCUAGUCUGGUCGAAGAGGAGAGCUCCAAUUUCAGGGAAAGACCCUGUCUCAAACAUGAGGUGGAAAGCAGGAAAGGAAGACACUCAGUGUUCACCUUUGGCCUCUGUGCGCGCGCGAACACACACACACACACACACACACACACACACACACACACACACACACACACACACACUGUGAUUCAAACUUAAGUGUGCUACUCUUCCAAACACAUCCUCUCUCUUUAGAGAAGCGUCUUGCCACAGAUGGAAAUGGGUAGAGGUUACUCAGUUUAUUUCUAAAUCUUUCCUGUUACGUGCAGUGCUGUGGUGAACAUCCUCAUGGCUAAGGCAGCCACGUUUGAGUGCAGGCUUCUCAACCAUGGUGCCCAAGUUCAACUUCUAGAUCCUCACCUUUGUAGCAAAUCUUUACAAUUCCAGUGCCAUGAUGGCUGAGGUCGGAUCACGAGAUUAGGCAAGCCUCUACUCUACAAGGGAGAUCAAGGCCAACCUGAGCUACUUUAAAAACCCUGUAUUACUGGGUGGUGGUGGUGGUGACACAGGCCUUUAAUUCUAGCACACAGGAGGCAGAGGCAGGCAGAUCACUGUGAGUUUGAGGCCAGCCUGGUCUACAGAGUGAGUUCUAGCCCACCCCAGGCUACAGAGAAACCCUGUCUCAAAACAACCAACCAAACAAAAACCCUGUUUCAAGAUGGGCUUGCUGUUGGUGGCACAUGCAUUUAACUCCAGAACUUGGGAGGCAGAGGCAGGAGGAUCUCUGUUAAUUCAAGGCCACCCUAACAUAGUGAGUUCUGAUCCAGGGCAGCCAGGGCUACCCAGGAUGGACAUUGAGACCCUGUCUCAAAAUAACAAACAAAACAAAUGAAAAAAAAAAAACCCAAAAACCAAAACGAAACGAUGACAAACAAAACUAAAGCCAAAACCCUGUUUCAGGAAAACAAAAUCAAAGCAAAACAACCUUGUCCCCGACCCCAAACCCACCUAGCAACAUUCCUGAACUUGUUCAGUGAGCUGCAGAUGGGCAAGCUAAGAAAUUAAUAAAUAAUAAGUACAUUUGUAUCUGCAGGAGGAUACCUGGUAGCAAGCAGCAGAUGAGACCUGUCUGAUUGCUCAACAAAUUGUGCAAUUCAUGAAACACACACACACACACACACACACACACACACACUCUACAAUCAGAUAGUGAUACUGUACCCUGGUAUACUUGGUACUACUUUCCAUGUUUCACCUAAGAUUUUUCUACACCAUAUCAACAAGUUUUAAGAAUGCAUUCAAAGCCUACAGUCAAAUAUGGUUUGUCUACUGUGUCUGAAUCUAGGUAAAAAGUACAUUUGUGCUCAAAUGUGUAGGUUUCAAUUAAAAAAAAAAAAAACAAAACAAAAGUUCAGGGCUGGGAAGAUGGCUCAGUGGUUAAGAGCACUGGCUGCUUCUCCAGAAGUCCUGAGUUCAGUUCCCAGCAACCACAUGGAGAAUGCCAUUAUUGGAACCCAAGUUCCAGGGGAUAUGAUGACCUCUUAGGAUUGUGUAGGCAAAGCAUGCACGUAUAUCAAUACAUACAUACAUACAUACAUACAUACAUACAUACAUACACACAUACAUACAUACAUACAGGCAAAAUACACAUAGAACAAUAUUAAAUAAUCUUUUUCAAAAAUCUACAAUUACAAUAGAAGUAUAUAAGACAUAUAUCAAUGGAUUUAUAUAUCAUUUAUAACAGAAUAGAAAAUAUUCCAAUGUCCCAACACGGGGAAUGACUAGCAAAACACACAUAAUCAGAGUAUAAAGUCAAGAGAAUUCAUAAGUAGUUCAAAUUAAAUUCCCUAAAAAUAAAUAAUAAAACAGUGUGACGUGGGGAGGGAAGCAGAAUUCAUAAUUACAGUCAUGGAGACACAAUGGAGACUCCCAAAAGCCCAGAUGCAUUUGCCCUAUUAGCCAUCACUUUCUCGUGUGGAUGAGGCUGCCCAUAUUAACAGGAGAAGGAAGUAAAUAAAAACCAACCAGAGUAAAUCCCGUGUGCUAAGUACACAUGCCUCACACCAGUGGCAAAUGUCCAGGGGAAAUUUCUCAUCUAGUGGAGGAGAGCACCAUCAAGAAUCAGUAUGCCUCAGCUAUCUCACUAAAAGUCAAGGACACCUUGGCAGUCGGGUGUCACUCACAGGUGUAGUUUAACCUACCCUGGAACCUAACGGUGGAUUUGGGAAUUUUUUCUAAUCCACUCUGGAACCUAACGGUAGAUUUGGGAUUUUUUCCUACUCCAAGUAAUUACUUAGAGGUGCAUCCGAAGCUCAAAGUUCUGGCUGCUGGUGCCAGCAUUUAUUUCUUACAUCAUAGCCCCUUCAUCCUUUAACCACCUAAGCACACACAAGGUUAAAAACAGAGGUCAGGUAAGUCUACUGGCUUGCACUCUUCCCAUGGCUUGAGUUCAGGUGAGCAGGGAGCUCACAUUUGGACGGUCCCAUACAUCUGUCACAAGAACCUUGUGUUUGGAAACCCAAACACACAUCAGUCGUGUAGUACUUGUACUAACAGUGUCCCAUCACCUUGGUAGUUACAGAAUGACUGAGCUGUAACAGCACAUUAGCUGUGCUGUGCAUUUUUCUUUCCUAUUAAUUAGUAUUCUUUCUUUUUAAAAAAAGAUUUAUUUAUUUUAUGAGUACACUGUCGCUGUCUUCAGACACACCAGAAGAGGGCAUCAGAUCCCAUUACAGAUGGUUGUGAGCCACCAUGUGGUUGCUGGGAAUUGAACUCAGAACCUCUGGAAGAACAGUCAGUGCUCUUAACCACUGACUGAGCCAUCUCACCAGCCCUAAUUAGUAUUCUUAAAUCUUUUAAACUUGCUCUACUCUAGCCCUUGGAAUAAAUUAUUUUAAGAUAUAAUUUUUCACAUAACUAACCUCUAUAGUUGGGCCUGGUGGAGACCAGAUGAUUUCAGAUUAUUUCUGACACCAAUUCUGGCAAUGCCGAUUCAAAAAUAAAGCUUCUAUUACACAGUUCAAGUGUUUUUAAUUGCAUCUUAAUAUUUCCCUAUAAUACAAGAACCACGAUAUUAACCACUAUGAGAAGUGGCUGGUUACUUAGUAAUGUGGUUAUGAGACUCCGAGCUGAGUCAAAAGAUCAGUGCUAAAACUGCAGGUAAGAAUUUGAAUUCGACUUCCACAGAGGAGCCAAACUGCAUGAACUUUAUGACUGGUUUAUGCCAAACAUUAAGUUUUCUGGUAAGCACUUUUGAGAGAAUCAGUGUAGUAACAAAAGAUGAAGAAUUAGUAAUGGCUGCUAAAGUUAUUUGCCCCACCCAAAAUGAUCAGGUACCAGUCCUGGCUAAAACUUCACCCUCAAUGGCUAGUAGGUUAGGCUAAUGAUACAAUGUUUGCAAAUGAGAACAAAUGAGGUCCUGAGUUUUAUCUCUGAUAGAUAGAUAGGUAGAUAGAUAGGUAGAUAGGUAGAUAGAUAGAUAGAUAGAUAGAUAGAUAGAUAGAUAGAUAGAUAGAUAGAUAGAAUUGCCAUCUAGGUAACUUGACCAAAAGCCUUAAUUUCUUUGCUCCCCAUUUGCUCCCUCCACUGAGAGUAUAUAGUUUCAACAUUAAAGCGGACUAAGUGAUACACUUGAAAAUGCUAAGGAUAUCAUUCGUUGCAACUUACUACCAAGCAGGUGUAUCCUUCAAGCACAGCCUUUAGAUAUAGAUCCGCAUUUUCUCAUAACUUUAAGCCAUAGGGUUAAUCACACAUGCAUAGAACUCCACAAGAGUACGACAAUGUCUAGUUUUAAAGCGACCCGAGGAAACGGUAGUUAACAGUCACAAUCAGUAUGCAAGGGAGCCAACAGAAAGGGAAACUGAGGAAGAUGUUUACCCUGAAAAGGAACGAAGAUACACCUCUCAGAUAAGUAAUGUCCUCCCGAUCCCUAAAGGCAAUUACACAGAGGACUAAGUGAUUCUGACUCUCGGUAGAGAGACUGCAAUAUGCACACUGUUCCUCUUACCGCUCUCCUGAUCUAACAAAAUUGAAAAAACAAUGAAAAAAAAGGCAGAAAAACCACUGACUGGGCAAGGUAUGCUUUACCUGCGAGGAGCGCGUCCGGGGAGCCUCACCAACAGAGGACCAGACAGUGCCAUUCAACUUAACUUUUAAACGUGGGUUGAGGGUUGGGGACGUGCGCGGGAGGCCACCUACC